UACGUAGGGUGCAAGCGUUAAUCGGAAUUACUGGGCGUAAAGCGUGCGCAGGCGGUUAUGCAAGACAGAUGUGAAAUCCCCGGGCUUAACCUGGGAACCGCAUUUGUGACUGCAUAGCUGGAGUACGGCAGAGGGGGAUGGAAUUCCGCGUGUAGCAGUGAAAUGCGUAGAUAUGCGGAGGAACCCCGAUGGCGAAGGCAGUCCCCUGGGCCUGUACUGACGCUCAUGCACGAAAGCGUGGGGAGCAAACAGG
rnacentral:rRNA from 1 species